rnacentral:rRNA from 1 species
GACGAACGCUGGCGGCGUGCUUAACACAUGCAAGUCGUGCGGUAAGGCCCUUUCGGGGGUACCCGAGCGGCGAACGGGUGAGUAACACGUGAGCAACCUGCCCUUCACUUUUGGAUAACUGCCGGAACCGGGGGCUAAUACCGGAUAUGACUUCCUCACGCAUGUGGGGUGGUGGAAAGCCUUCGGGUGGUGGGGGAUGGGCUCGCGGUCUAUCCGCUUGUUGGUGGGGGGAUGGCAUACCAAGGCUUCGACGGGUAGCCGGCAUGGGAGGGUGAACGGGCACCAUGCGACUGAGAGACGGAGCAGACGCGUAUGUGAGGCAGCAGGGGGGAGUAUUGGACAACGAGAGCGCGCCUGAUCAAGAAGCGCCGCGUGAGGGAUGACGGCCUGCGGGUUGUAAACAUCUUUAGCUUGAGACGAAGCGAGAGUGACGGUAGCAGGUAAAGAAGCACCGGCCAACUACGUG